CAGCAGCCACGGGAAUGCGUAGGGUGCGAGCGUUAAUCGGAAUUACUGGGCGUAAAGCGUGCGCAGGCGGUUCGUUAAGACAGAUGUGAAAUCCCCGGGCUUAACCUGGGAACUGCAUUUGUGACUGGCGAGCUAGAGCAUGGCAGAGGGGGGUAGAAUUCCACGUGUAGCAGUGAAAUGCGUAGAGAUGUGGAGGAAUACCGAUGGCGAAGGCAGCCCCCUGGGCCAAUACUGACGCUCAUGCACGAAAGCGUGGGGAGCAAACAGGAUUAGAUACCCCCGUAGUCCCUGUCUCUUAUAC
rnacentral:rRNA from 1 species